ensembl:lncRNA
AUAAAUGGAAGAGAAGCGAAGGAGGAUGAGCUUUGUCUCUGAAUAUGCAAGACACUAAUGUUGUGCUCUUUACUUAUUGCAGAGACCAGCGGCUGACAAUAGGCACUCCCUAGACGUUCACCGUGAUUCACCCUUCCCUCUCAAAGACUGCACAGAGCAUGCCCUCAAACUAAAGCAACUGCUCUCUCGCUGAAGAAGCCCGGAAUGGAGGAAAUCAUCCAACGUCUGACUGAAAUCACCACCCACCAGCACCAGUUUGUGGAACAGCUGGCUUCUCGCCAGGAAUGGAUGGAGCAGACAGUGGAGAUGUUGCUGGCAGCUGCACGAGUACCAUUGCCUGAUCCCAGCGCAUCGGCACACCAUCUCACAAUACUCAGUGACCAGGAUGAUAUUGAAGUUUACCUGCACACGUUUGAAGUGGUUGCCACCGGAGAGAAUUGGGACAGAUGAGAAGGGGCUAUGUCUUAGCUGCCUUUCUGACCUGGGAAGCAUAAUGGGCCUAUUUCGCAUUAACCCUUCCCGAGAAUGAAGACUACAGUGGGGUCAAGCGUGAAAUCCUUGCCUGGCUUGGACUGUCUCCCAUCUGUGCCACCCAACAGUUUUGGAUAUGAAGAAAACGUGCCAGUUAGGGUAUAGGAACCCAUUUGGAAUAAGGAACCCGAACAGCCUGGCUGAGCUCGUAGAAGCAGUCGAGCUUGCAGAAGUGGCAUUCGCUAGAGAUGCUGGAGAGAGAGCGGUAUCCAACCCCCGGAGGGCAACCCCUGUUUGGCGAUCAUCGGAGAGCACCUCAAGACCAGUAAAAAGACCUAGCGGCCCCUUCCCUGGCCGACGAGCCCAUGCCCAUGGAACCCGCCUCAGCGGCAGCAC